UGCGAGGAGGCUCUGAGAAAUCAACCAGACAAUUCCCACAAAAGCGUUUGGAAGAACAUCAAAAGAAAGAAGAGGAAGCGAAACUGACUGGACACCUCACUCUCCCAGGCUGGAACACUGCCACUCAGUCACCUGGACUCUGCAACUUGCUCCUCCUGUAGGCAACAUCUUUCCACCCAACAGGCUCUCGGUUCCUGUAGUCCCCGGCCCUGGAAAGUGUCCCUUGGAGGAGAAGAACCUGAAGGGUAGAGAGGGGAGAUAAUCCCCAACAUCACACAGCUAGCAGAUUGUGGAGCUGGGCUUUGAGUGGAGGCUGUCCGUCACCCGAAGCCCGCUCUGCUACACUGAACACCCCAGCACACAGGAGGCGCUUUGGGAAGACCAGCUCGGAUUAUUACUGUUUAAAAUGUACAGGCUGGGCCAGGCUGCUGCGCUGCAUGUGGCAGGAGUAGGGGCCUCUGUCCAGAAGAGGACUUCCACCACCACUCAG